rnacentral:rRNA from 1 species
AAACCAGCACCUCAAGUGGUCAGGAGGAUUAUUGGGCCUAAAGCAUCCGUAGCCUGUUCUGUAAGUUUCCGGUUAAAUCCACUAGCACAACUAGUGGGCUGCCGAAAAUACUGUAGAACUAGGGAGUGGGAGAGGUAGACGGUAUUCGGUAGGAAGGGGUAAAAUCCUUUGAUCUAUUGAGGACCACCUGUGGCGAAGGCGGUCUACCAGAACACGUUCGACGGUGAGGGAUGAAAGCUGGGGGAGCAAACCGGAUUAGAAACCCCUGUAGUCC